AAGAUGGCCAUUCUGCUACCAUAGUGUAUCAAGCUAAGGGUAUCCCAAACACCAGCUCCCAGACACAACGCCACAGCCACCAGGAAGACUAAAUAUUUUCUGAUUGGAUUAAACUGGUCAGACUGUAAUGCACAAUGGCAGACGGACACAUACAGCCUCCACUCCCACCAUAAUUCAGAAACCAGCGGAGACAUGUCACACUGGAAGAUGGCCCAGGCUACGCUUACAUUAGCCCGCAUCCCCCGGGACCUGGUUCCCACUGGCAUGUCCAGCCCAGGAGAGAGGUGGCAAGCAUCCCAAAGGCAUGCCAAUACCAAAAGUGGAUAAGAAAAUACUUGGAGACAAAUCAUGUGACCUGGAACAGCAUUACCCCCAGACAUGCUACAUAAACAGGCUGUGGAGUAGGAACUGCCGGGUGAGAGCAACUUGGAAAUGGG
rnacentral:lncRNA from 1 species